AUUGAACGCUGGCGGCAGGCCUAACACAUGCAAGUCGAGCGAGUGGCGGACGGGUGAGUAAUGCUUGGGGAUCUGCCUGAUGGAGGGGGAUAACUACUGGAAACUGUCGCUAAUACCGCAUACCAUCGGAUGAACCCAUAUGGGAUUAGCUAGUUGGUGGGGUAAAGGCCUACCAAGCCGACGAUCUCUAGCUGGUCUGAGAGGAUGACCAGCCACACUGGGACGGAGACACGGCCCAGACUCCUACGGGAGGCAGCAGUGGGGAAUAUUGCGCAAUGGGGGCAAGCCUGAUGCAGCCAUGCCGCGUGUAUGAAGAAGGCCUUAGGGUUGUAAAGUUCUUUCAGUAGGGAGGCGUUACCCGCAGAAGAAGCACCGGCUAACUCCGUGCCAGCAGCCGCGGUAAUAC
rnacentral:rRNA from 1 species